ensembl:snRNA U6 U6 spliceosomal RNA
GUGCUAGUUUCAGCAGCACAUAUACUAAAAUUGGAAUGAUGCAGAGAAGAUUAGUAUGUCCCCUGCAUAAGGAUGACAUGCAAUUUCAUGAAGUGUUUCAUAUUUUA